rnacentral:rRNA from 1 species
AGAACGAACGCUGGCGGCAGGCCUAACACAUGCAAGUCGAACGCGAUCUUCGGAUCGAGUGGCGCACGGGUGAGUAACGCGUGGGAAUCUGCCCUGUGGUACGGAAUAACAUCGGGAAACUGGUGCUAAUACCGUAUAUCCCCUGAGGGGGAAAGAUUUAUCGCCAUGGGAGGAGCCCGCGUAGGAUUAGCUAGUUGGUGAGGUAACGGCUCACCAAGGCGACGAUCCUUAGCUGGUCUGAGAGGAUGAUCAGCCACACUGGGACUGAGAUACGGCCCAGACUCCUACGGGAGGCAGCAGUGGGAAUAUUGGACAAUGGGGGAAACCCUGAUCCAGCCAUGCCGCGUGUGUGAUGAAGGCCUUCGGGUUGUAAAGCACUUUCGCACGUGACGAUGAUGACGGUAACGUGAGAAGAAGCCCCGGCUAACUUCGUGCCAGCAGCCGC